UCAAGAAGAAAUAGAAAAUCUGAAUAAACUUUAAGAGACUGAGUCAGUUUUCAGAAACCCCACACAAAGAAAAGCCCAGACUGGAUGGCUUCUCUGUUGAACUCUAAGCACAGCAACAUGAACCUAGUGGGAGCAGCAGAUGGAAAGGAAAUAGAGACAGGCCAGAGGGUCCUCAUCUCAGUCUUCCUGCGCAGGGAUCUAGGCAGUAUGGAUGGGACCGACCUCACAGAGGAGACUGCCUACCUCAGAUAGCAAUAGAGGAGAGUCGGUUUGGGCCCUGGAUGACAGAUCGUAACUGUCCUGAGUGGCUGGACAUCUUAGAGUGAACAGCAGACAGCACCGGCUUCAUGUGAGAGUCCUGCCUGGACAUUGAGGAUGGAUCCGAGAGAGAAGCGCAGAGCCUGACGGAUCAGACACCACCACCCCUUAGCGGCGACGAAACCGAGCGGUAAACGCGCUGGAUCGUGAGAAGCACUUGUCUAGCUAGGCCAAGGAGAGAGGCGCAGGGAGAGCGAGGUGAUCCAGACCAGACAGGGAACCCUGCGGGGCGUGGCGGGGCCGGGGGUGAAGCUUGCAGAGGUAGUUGCCCGUGAAGAGCAGCUUGUGCGCUGUUGGAUCCUUGGAGUGGAGUGGGAACUCCGAGGUGAAGCGCACCGUGUUCAGCCCGAUGCCGGUGAGCGGCCGUUGGAACGCGUGGCAGAGAAAGCUUGCGCGAGCCCAGGGCGCGAAGAAGUACAACAAAGGGCCAACGGGGAGGUCCAACGGUCCGACCCCAGCCGGACUCGAGCUCACUCGGUUGCAGGCGUUAGGCUCCCAGCGGCUCUCAGCCGUUAAGUGGAGAAUGUUCAGGACUGUCGAGGCGCGCUCCGCACCUGGCCUGAAAGCGGGAGAUUUGGCAACCAGUGCGCGUGGGUGCGCCGGCCCUUGCAGCUGGGGACUCUGGAGGCAGACCUUGCCCAAAGCCAGAGGCAGGAACUCCCCAGAUCCUCCCAGGGUAGGGAGCUGGCUCACAGGGAAGGUGCCUGGGGAGGGGCCGGGCGGUGCUGUCUCCUGACUCCGCCCAGGCAGCCCCGCCGCUGCAGCCGGCCUGGGCUAAGGUGGGGAGAAGACACCAGCACAGGCAGGGAGCAAGAGCCCCCAGCUGCUUCCUUUCAGGCAGCCGCCACAGAGGACCCAGUUUCCCUUCUCUCUUCUCUAUGCAGGUAGCAUGGGAGGAUGCCGCCUCCUCCAGGAAGCUCUCUAGCGCUUUUCCGAGUCCUGGAGCCAGGCGGGACUUCUCUGUGGUCGCCUAGAAGGGUAUGAACUUAGGGCAUCCCCAUCUGGGCUGUGAAGGUUUCUGACUUGGGGACCAGGUGCUCAGACCUUCCUGGAUGCUGCUUUCCACAAUAUCUCUACCAGGCAGGCAGGUUCUCUUCAUUUUGCAAAUUUGGUGAAACAGCAUUUGUAAAACUUUAGAAGCUUCCUUGGCUCACACAGGUGGUAGUGGCCCUGUCAGGAUUUGACCCAGGCUCUCGGAUUCCAGAGUUCCUGAAUUUAACCA
rnacentral:lncRNA from 10 species